AAAAAACUCUCGCAUGCCCACGAGGUUUCAAGCAUGUCUAUGUAAUCACACGUGAUUCAAAUCCAUAUGGUUUUUGAAAAAAAUAAUAAGGUCGGAUACUUUUCUAACAGACCUCGUAAGUGCUACUUUUUGAGGCUUAUGAUAAUUUGAUUAUUUUGUUUGUAAUUAGUUAUACUCUGCAUGGACGCUAGGGGCAGAAUGUUUUGUGUGCUGUGUGUUUUCUUCUUUUGUUUUGUUGCUGUAAUAAAGAUGGAUGGAGCAACACGGUGGUUUUACCACAAGUAUGUGCGCCGUGUGUGUACAAGUGCGUAAAACAUUUCUGAUGCUGUGGCUGACCACCA